GUACACUCCUGCGGGAGGCAGCAGUGGGGAAUUUUGGACAAUGGGCGAAAGCCUGAUCCAGCCAUGCCGCGUGCAGGAUGAAGGCCUUCGGGUUGUAAACUGCUUUUGUACGGAACGAAACGGCCUUUUCUAAUAAAGAGGGCUAAUGACGGUACCGUAAGAAUAAGCACCGGCUAACUACGUGCCAGCAGCCGCGGUAAUACGUAGGGUGCAAGCGUUAAUCGGAAUUACUGGGCGUAAAGCGUGCGCAGGCGGUUAUGUAAGACAGUUGUGAAAUCCCCGGGCUCAACCUGGGAACUGCAUCUGUGACUGCAUAGCUAGAGUACGGUAGAGGGGGAUGGAAUUCCGCGUGUAGCAGUGAAAUGCGUAGAUAUGCGGAGGAACACCGAUGGCGAAGGCAAUCCCCUGGACCUGUACUGACGCUCAUGCACGAAAGCGUGGGGAGCAAACAGGAUUAGAUACCCCUGUAGUCCCA
rnacentral:rRNA from 1 species